rnacentral:rRNA from 1 species
AGGACGAACGCUGGCGGCGUGCUUAACACAUGCAAGUCGAGCGGAAAGGCCCUUCGGGGUACUCGAGCGGCGAACGGGUGAGUAACACGUGAGUAAUCUGCCCCUAGCUCUGGGAUAGCUCCGGGAAACCGGGAUUAAUACCGGAUACGACCACCUUAGACAUCUUUUGUGGUGGAAAGAAUUUCGGCUAGGGAUGAGCUCGCGGCCUAUCAGCUUGUUGGUGGGGUAACGGCCUACCAAGGCGACGACGGGUAGCCGGCCUGAGAGGGCGACCGGCCACACUGGGACUGAGACACGGCCCAGACUCCUACGGGAGGCAGCAGUGGGGAAUUGUUCGCAAUGGGCGCAAGCCUGACGACGCAACGCCGCGUGGAGGAUGAAGACCUUCGGGUCGUAAACCCCUUUCAGCAGGGACGAAGCGAGAGUGACGGUACCUGCAGAAGAAGCGCCGGCUAACUACGUGCCAGCAGCCGC